rnacentral:rRNA from 1 species
CAACUUUCAACAACGGAUCUCUUGGCUCUCGCAUCGAUGAAGAACGCAGCGAAAUGCGAUAAGUAAUGUGAAUUGCAGAAU